AGAAAAUUGACUCUCUGCUGUGCUUCCAGGACAAGAAUGAAACCACAGGGCACAGCCUCUUAGCUUCAGCCAGAUUGUGGAGGGGGCGGGUGUAGGGGUUAUGGAAGGUCGGCCAUACUGCAGGAGUGUUCUCUCGAGAAUGGGGCUGGAAUAUCUUUAGAAAUAAGGAGGAAACUUUAGGCCUGUUGAGUCUUUGUCCAGGCUCAGUAGGUCACUGCGGGCUGGAAGGACACACGGCUUUAGAGCCUGCCUACUUGGCGGUUCUCACCACUGUGCGUCACUUGGCACCGAGGACAGCUGCCUUUGCUUAGCAAGGAAGAGUUUUUCCCACCACACAUUAAACGCAGCCCAGGAGGACAGGGGCCGGAUCUGGCUCUGUGGGGUCACAGAAUGAUUCUGCCUAGGCUCCAUUUUUCAAAAAUAACCCUUGGAUUUUUCAGAGACCUACCCAUGUUUCAAGGCAGAGGGAACGGAGCCAGUGCAAAGAAAAAGAGAACGGAGCUAGGGAACCGGCCUUGAAGAAGAGAGGGAUGGUACUUGAGAGAAUGGAGUCC
rnacentral:lncRNA from 1 species